CUCCCGGUGAUCCUGCCGGACCCGACUGCUAUCAGAGUGGGACUAAGCCAUGCGAGUCAACAUAGCAAUAUGUGGCAUACGGCUCAGUAACACGUAGUCAACAUGCCCAGGGGACGUGGAUAACCUCGGGAAACUGAGGAUAAACCGCGAUAGGUCAUCACUUCUGGAAUGGGUAAUGACUUAAAUCUAUAUGGCCCCUGGAUUGGACUGCGGCCGAUCAGGCUGUUGGUGAGGUAAUGGCCCACCAAACCUAUUACCGGUACGGGCUCUGAGAGGAGGAGCCCGGAGAUGGGCACUGAGACAAGGGCCCAGGCCCUAUGGGGCGCAGCAGGCGCGAAACCUCUGCAGUAGGCGAAAGCUUGACAGGGUUACUCUGAGUGAUUUCCGCUAAGGGAAUCUUUUGGCACCUCUAAAAAUGGUGCAGAAUAAGGGGUGGGCAAGUCUGGUGUCAGCCGCCGCGGUAAUACCAGCACCCCGAGUGGUCGGGACGUUUAUUGGGCCUAAAGCAUCCGUAGCCGGUUCUACAAGUCUUCCGUUAAAUCCACCUGCUUAACAGAUGGGCUGCGGAAGAUACUAUAGAGCUAGGAGGCGGGAGAGGCAAGCGGUACUCGAUGGGUAGGGGUAAAAUCCGUUGAUCCAUUGAAGACCACCAGUGGCGAAGGCGGCUUGCCAGAACGCGCUCGACGGUGAGGGAUGAAAGCUGGGGGAGCAAACCGGAUUAGAUACCCGGGUAGUCCCAGCUGUAAACGAUGCAGACUCGGUGAUGAGUUGGCUUCUUGCCAACUCAGUGCCGCAGGGAAGCCGUUAAGUUUGCCGCCUGGGGAGUACGGUCGCAAGACUGAAACUUAAAGGAAUUGGCGGGGGAGCA
rnacentral:rRNA from 1 species